rnacentral:rRNA from 1 species
UUGAACGCUGGCGGCAUGCUUUACACAUGCAAGUCGAACGGUAACAGGCCGCAAGGUGCUGACGAGUGGCGAACGGGUGAGUAAUGCAUCGGAACGUGCCCAGUCGUGGGGGAUAACUACUCGAAAGAGUAGCUAAUACCGCAUACGAUCUAUGGAUGGAAGCGGGGGACCGUAAGGCCUCGCGCGAUUGGAGCGGCCGAUGUCAGAUUAGGUAGUUGGUGGGGUAAAGGCUCACCAAGCCAACGAUCUGUAGCUGGUCUGAGAGGACGACCAGCCACACUGGGACUGAGACACGGCCCAGACUCCUACGGGAGGCAGCAGUGGGGAAUUUUGGACAAUGGGCGCAAGCCUGAUCCAGCAAUGCCGCGUGCAGGAAGAAGGCCUUCGGGUUGUAAACUGCUUUUGUACGGAACGAAACGGCUCUGGUUAAUACCCGGGGCUAAUGACGGUACCGUAAGAAUAAGCACCGGCUAACUACGUG